GCCAGUUCCUGUCCGUCAUUGUCCAGGGCGUAGGUGAGUUGAGUGUCACCGUUAGUGCGGUUGUCGGCGGGCCUUGGGACUAGAUCGUGUGUGAUCCUUGCGCGGGCCAGUCGCCAGCUGGGACGGGCCCCAUGGCCUCCCGCAGCUUGCACUGCCGGGGCGGUCAGGGGCGGCGUCGGGCUAUCGGCGUCCAUGGGGUCGUUGUGAGCGGCAGCCUGGUUGACUUCCAUAGGCAAUCCUGUGUUGUUCAGAUACUCGCUUAUGGCGUUGGGUUCGGGGUUGGCGGCAUUCGCCGUGAGGCGGGUUGUGAGGGCGGGUGGUAGCCCACGGCGCUGUUGGCGUGGUUCGACAGCAUGUGCAAGGGAGGGUGGGUCUUGUGGGUGUGGGUGGCAGAUCCGCAUGUGUCCUGUCAUGUCUUUGGCGAGCGCCUGGAAUACCGAGCAUGCCGUUUCAUAUCCCCGCGUGCCCACCGGCAGGCUCUCAUCGCCGUUGGUGAGCCGCAGGGCAUGGUUGAUGGCGGCGCGGUCCCCGGUGAGCAAGUCCUCAGGGGUAGUGCGUGUAGUUUCUGCAAUGCGUGCGCGUUGCGCUGCAUGUUUUGUAACGCGCCGUGCGCGUGUUUGGUUCUGUGGCCGGCGUGUUGUAGCCGGCUUGCGGGCUCUGGCCGGUGGCCGUAGGGAGGGUUGCGUUGCCCCAUCAGCGGGGACUUCCGGUGCAGCAGCACCUUGUGCGCCGGGAUGGGCCUGGGCCGCCCCUGCUGGAGAGGGGGGGGCUAGGUCGGCGGGGGCUUGCGUGGUGUUUGCUUGGGCGGGGGGCGCCUCCGGGAGGGGCUGCAGGUACCGGUCGAGGGGGUUGGCCAUUCCGAGAGGGAGGGGGUCCGCCCUCAUGGCUAAGGCCACGAUUGCGGCCACGUCGGGCAGUGCACGCUGUGCGGUGGUCAGGGGGGCAGGGCUGCCAUGGGCUGGAGCGUUUUCCCCUGCACGUGCAGCCAUACUGAGAGCAAGGCUAAGCCUGUUCAGGGCUACCUUGUGCUUGUGCCGGACCCGGCUCGCUCCCAUGUGCUUCUCGAGGUCCGAGCUAGUAAUCAGGUGUUUGCCUGUGUUGCGGUCCACCAGGUGGCUCAGUUCGAGCCUCAGGUCCGCAAGAGGGAGGACGUAUUCAAUGGGGAGAGGUUCGACGCCCCGGGCGUCAGCUUCUGCCUCAAGGGCAGCGGCAAUGGACCAGGUAGGCGCAGUAAAGGCAGACCCAUUUUGGUACAGUGUGACACCGUACUCUUUUGCCAGGGUCAUCUGUUUCAGCGUCGUAAGGUGGUGUGACCUAUGGGCUGGGAGAAGGUGGGCCUGUGUGGGGCCAGCUAUGCUUGCCUGGCGCGGCAGAAGGGCUCGGGUUACUAUCCCAAGACGGCCCGAGUCAUUUAGGGCAAGGACCAGGGCUCGCUGGGCCACGCGCGCGUAUUGCGGCAGGAGGGAGCCCAGGCCCAAGCCGUAUUCGUCGGCGGGCAGGAGGGAGGUCCGGGUGGGGAAGCUGCGGGGGAGUCCGUAGCAGCGCUUUGCAAAACCAGCCAGGGUAGUGUCGAGCGUUGUUAUGUCCUGUUUUGUGAAGGGCAUUGCUGCGAAUCCAUAUGCAACUGUGGUGUGCACGCACUGUUGUAUCAUGCGCAGGCGUUGUGCCGGUGUCGCCAGGGAUGUGGCAAUGGCUGUGCCCUUGUCCUUCACAGUCUCGGUGACUCUUGCGACAUGUGCCGACCAGUCCAGCGAGAACGUGAGCUGCACUCCCAG
rnacentral:lncRNA from 1 species